rnacentral:sRNA from 1 species
GUGCGCUGAACUUUGGGCCCCGCGGGAGCAGCACGGUCACCAUUCCACGGGAGCGGCUGGCGGCUGGCGUGGAGUACACCUUCAGCCUGACCGUGUGGAAGGCCGGCCGCAAGGAGGAGGCCACCAACCAGACGGUGGGUGCCGCCCGCCCCUCGGCCACUUGCCUUGGACAGCCCAGCCUCCCUGCUCAUCUACUGUUUUCCAUGUUUUAGUGCUGGUGGAGGCCGCACGCUCUCCUCUCUCUGUUUCUGAUGCAAAUUCUAUGUAACACGACAGCCUGCUUCAGCUUUGCUUCCUUCCAAACCUGCCACAGUUCCACGUACAGUCUUCAAGCCACAUACACCCUAGUGGCAAAAGCUACACAGUCCCUCAGCAAUACCAACAGUGAGGAAGAGCCCCUUCCCACCCCAGAGGCAGCCACUGUCCCCAGCCCAUGUCCCUGUUGCUGGAUGUGGUGGGCCGGUUCUCACCCUCACGCUCCCCUCUCUGGACCGGCCAGGAGGCUUGGUGACCCUGAGCCCGUGGUGGCUGCUCCUGCUGCUGUCAGGCGGGGCCUGCUGGUGCCCCAGAGUGGGCGUCUGUUCCCCAGUCCCUGCUUUCCUCAGCUGGCCUGAUUGGGGGUCUGCCCAGAGGGGUCGUCUGAGGGGAGGGUGUGGGAGCAGGUUCCAUCCCGGCUCAGCCUCCUGACCCAGGCCCUGGCUAAGGGCUGCAGGAGUCUGUGAGUCAGGCCUACGUGGCAACUGCGGUCCUCACACCCACACAUACGUCUGUUCCCACACGCAUCCCCCCAGGGGCCCUCAGUGAGCAUUGCCUGCCUCCUGCCAGGCUCCAGCUGGGUCCAGUACACCAGAACACACCCCCCAGUGUCCUCUGCCCUGUGUAUGCCCUUCCGCCACCCAGGUUGGAAGGUGGCAAACCGGAUGAGUAUCCUGGGAGGGUUGAGCUCACCGGCAGUGGCCAGGCCCCUGGGAAAGCUGGAGUUUGGGAGCAGCAUCCUCCAUGGGUCCUCCAGACCUUCCAGCAGGCCAAGUAGACCUGUGUUGGAGGUAACCCCACUCCCACGCCAGGUGCUGAUCCGGAGUGGCCGGGUGCCCAUUGUGUCCUUGGAGUGUGUGUCCUGCAAGGCACAGGCCGUGUACGAAGUGAGCCGCAGCUCCUACGUGUACCUGGAGGGCCGCUGCCUCAAUUGCAGCAGUGGCUCCAAGCGAGGGCGGUGGGCUGCACGUACGUUCAGCAACAAGACGCUGGUGCUGGAUGAGACCACCACGUCCACGGGCAGCGCAGGCAUGCGACUGGUGCUGCGGCGGGGCGUGCUGCGGGACGGCGAGGGAUACACCUUCACGCUCACGGUGCUGGGCCGCUCUGGCGAGGAGGAGGGCUGCGCCUCCAUCCGCCUGUCCCCCAACCGCCCGCCGCUGGGGGGCUCUUGCCGCCUCUUCCCACUGGGCGCUGUGCACGCCCUCACUACCAAGGUGCACUUCGAAUGCACGGGUUGGCAUGACGCGGAGGAUGCUGGCGCCCCGCUGGUGUACGCCCUGCUGCUGCGGCGCUGUCGCCAGGGCCACUGCGAGGAGUUCUGUGUCUACAAGGGCAGCCUCUCCGGCUACGGAGCUGUGCUGCCCCCGGGUUUCAGGCCACACUUCGAGGUGGGCCUGGCCGUGGUGGUGCAGGACCAGCUGGGAGCCGCUGUGGUCGCCCUCAACAGGUGAGCCAGGCCGUGGGAGGGCGCCCCCGAGACUGCCACCUGCUCACCACCCCCCUCUGCUCGUAGGUCUCUGGCCAUCACCCUCCCAGAGCCUAACGGCAGUGCAACGGGGCUCACAGUCUGGCUGCACGGGCUCACCGCUAGUGUGCUCCCGGGGCUGCUGCGGCAGGCCGAUCCCCAGCACGUCAUCGAGUACUCGCUGGCCCUGGUCACCGUGCUGAACGAGCCACACCCACCGGGCCCUCUCCGGCGUCUGCUUUCCACAAUGCAGCCCCCGCCCAGGAGGGCCCAUGUGCUUACCCUGUUUUGCCCAUGAAGAGACAGCUCAGUGUUGCGGGUCAGUGCCCACAUCACACAGCAUCUAGCACGUAACUGCACCCCGGGAGUCGUGGGCAUCCGCUGGCCUCCUGCCGGCCUCCUGCCCUGCUGACAGCUUGCUGUGCCCCCUGCCUGCCCCAGUACGAGCAGGCCCUGGACGUGGCGGCAGAGCCCAAGCACGAGCGGCAGCGCCGAGCCCAGAUACGCAAGAACAUCACGGAGACUCUGGUGUCCCUGCGGGUCCACACUGUGGAUGACAUCCAGCAGAUCGCUGCUGCGCUGGCCCAGUGCAUGGGGCCCAGCAGGGAGCUCGUAUGCCGCUCAUGCCUGAAGCAGACGCUGCACAAGCUGGAGGCCAUGAUGCGCAUCCUGCAGGCAGAGACCACCGCGGGCACCGUGACGCCCACCGCCAUCGGAGACAGCAUCCUCAACAUCACAGGAGACCUCAUCCACCUGGCCAGCUCGGACGUGCGGGCACCACAGCCCUCAGAGCUGGGAGCCGAGUCACCAUCGCGGAUGGUGGCGUCCCAGGCCUACAACCUGACCUCUGCCCUCAUGCGCAUCCUCAUGCGCUCCCGCGUGCUCAACGAGGAGCCCCUGAUGCUGGCGGGCGAGGAGAUCGUGGCCCAGGGCAAGCGCUCGGACCCGCGGAGCCUGCUGUGCUAUGGCGGCGCCCCAGGGCCUGGCUGCCACUUCUCCAUCCCCGAGGCUUUCAGCGGGGCCCUGGCCAACCUCAGUGACGUGGUGCAGCUCAUCUUUCUGGUGGACUCCAAUCCCUUUCCCUUUGGCUAUAUCAGCAACUACACCGUCUCCACCAAGGUGGCCUCGAUGGCAUUCCAGACACAGGCCGGCGCCCAGAUCCCCAUCGAGCGGCUGGCCUCAGAGCGCGCCAUCACCGUGAAGGUGCCCAACAACUCGGACUUGGCUGCCCGGGGCCACCGCAGCUCCGCCAACUCCGUUGUGGUCCAGCCCCAGGCCUCCGUCGGUGCUGUGGUCACCCUGGACAGCAGCAACCCUGCGGCCGGGCUGCAUCUGCAGCUCAACUAUACGCUGCUGGACGGCCGCUACCUGUCUGAGGAACCCGAGCCCUACCUGGCAGUCUACCUGCACUCGGAGCCCCGGCCCAAUGAGCACAACUGCUCGGCUAGCAGGAGGAUCCGCCCAGAGUCACUCCAGGGUGCCGACCACCGGCCCUACACCUUCUUCAUUUCCCCGGGGAGCAGAGACCCAGCGGGGAGUUACCAUCUGAACCUCUCCAGCCACUUCCGCUGGUCAGUGCUGGAGGUGUCCGUGGGCCUGUACACGUCCCUGUGUCAGUACUUCAGCGAGGAGGACAUGGUGUGGAGGACAGAGGGGCUGCUGCCCCUGGAGGAGACCUCGCCCCGCCAGGCCGUCUGCCUCACCCGCCACCUCACCGCCUUCGGCGCCAGCCUCUUCGUGCCCCCAAGCCAUGUCCGCUUUGUCUUUCCGGAGCCGACAGCGGAUGUAAACUACAUCGUCAUGCUGACAUGUGCUGUGUGCCUGGUGACCUACAUGGUCAUGGCCGCCAUCCUGCACAAGCUGGACCAGUUGGAUGCCAGCCGAGGCCGCGCCAUCCCCUUCUGUGGGCAGCGGGGCCGCUUCAAGUACGAGAUCCUCGUCAAGACAGGCUGGGGCCGGGGCUCAGGUACCACGGCCCACGUGGGCAUCAUGCUGUAUGGGGUGGACAGCCGGAGUGGCCACCGGCACCUGGACGGCGACAGAGCCUUCCACCGCAACAGCCUGGACAUCUUCCGGAUCGCCACCCCGCAUAGCCUGGGUAGCGUGUGGAAGAUCCGAGUGUGGCACGACAACAAAGGGCUCAGCCCUGCCUGGUUCCUGCAGCACAUCAUCGUCAGGGACCUGCAGACGGCACGCAGCGCCUUCUUCCUGGUCAAUGACUGGCUUUCGGUGGAGACGGAGGCCAACGGGGGCCUGGUGGAGAAGGAGGUGCUGGCCGCGAGCGACGCAGCCCUGUUGCGCUUCCGGCGCCUGCUGGUGGCUGAGCUGCAGCGCGGCUUCUUUGACAAGCACAUCUGGCUCUCCAUAUGGGACCGGCCGCCUCGUAGCCGUUUCACUCGCAUCCAGAGGGCCACCUGCUGCGUUCUCCUCAUCUGCCUCUUCCUGGGCGCCAACGCCGUGUGGUACGGGGCUGUUGGCGACUCUGCCUACAGCACGGGGCGUGUGUCCAGGCUGAGCCCGCUGAGUGUCGACACAGUCGCUGUUGGCCUGGUGUCCAGCGUGGUUGUCUAUCCCGUCUACCUGGCCAUCCUCUUUCUCUUCCGGAUGUCCCGGAGCAAGGUGGCUGGGAGCCCGAGCCCCACACCUGCCGGGCAGCAGGUGCUGGACAUCGACAGCUGCCUGGACUCGUCCGUGCUGGACAGCUCCUUCCUCACGUUCUCAGGCCUCCACGCUGAGGUGAGGGCUCUACUGG